ACAGACUGGUCUAUGGGCCAGUCUGAGGGAGGCAAUGCUCAACUGAAGUUCUCUCCUCCUAGAUGACCCUAGCUUAUGUCAAGUUGACAAAAACGAAAUAAAACAACAAAAACCAACAAAACAAAACAAAAUGAAACAAAAAAGCCCCCAAAACAGAGCAGCGGCAGACUCCUUUAAUACUAGCUCUGGGGAGGCAGAGGCAGGAGGGUGUCUAUGAUGAGUUCAAGGCCAAUCUAGUCUACUUAGUGAGCUCUAGGCCAGUGAGGACUGAAUAGAGAAACCCUGCCUCAAGCACAAAGAGCAUCUGGGGUCAUUCAUCUUGGUCCCCCAGAGUUGUUAGUUGCCUAUUGGCGUCUUAGUUGCCUAUUGGCGUCUUGGGUUUGGAUGGUGUGGCAGUGCUUUGGAAAGGUGCUUAGUGCUUUCUACUUAGCUCCUAUAGCCCUGUUUUCUAGCAGCCAUAGCCCUGUUCCAUGGAGUAGCUCCUUCCAGGCCCAUCCCAGGAUGAGAGCAGGAUGGUUAGUAAGCCACCCAAGGUCUCAGAUGGCAACAGGAUUUGAACUUGGGCUGCCUGCUCUGAAGCCAGGUCGUUUUCGGGCCCACUGGUGCUUCAUGGAGAUCAGGAGCAUCCCUGACCCCCAGUAUGCAAGAAACCCCUUUUUGAGCAAGGACCUAGGUGUGCCUUUGUGGAUUCAGAACCCUAGUGGAA
rnacentral:lncRNA from 1 species